rnacentral:misc_RNA from 1 species
CUCGCCGGGUGGCGGGUGUUAGCGGCGGUUGGAGUCUCAAGCAGGUAUCAGUUCUGAGUCUGUACUGUCCCCGCAGAGAUAUACAGAAACAGGUGUAUUCAUAUACAGAGAGAGAAUAAAGAUGUCUCGAUAUGUGGAGACCAGGGGGGAGAUGCCCCCUCACCAUGAACAGUGCAUCAAGAGAAACUGGGCGUAUAUCAAGGCUGAAAUAGAUGUAAUGUUCCUGGUGAACUCCCUCGUAGCGACGAGAACCCUGUAUGUGGAGGAUGUGGACAGUGUCCUCAGUUGUAAAACAAAAGAGGACAGGAAUCAUUGUUUUUUAGAAAUUCUGCUUCAGCGAGGGAAGGGAGCCUUUGACGGCUUCAUUGCCGCUUUGGACACCUGCGAAUACUACAACGUUUCACAGAAAUUGAAAGAGGAUUGCAAAGAGAAAGCAUGCAUUCAAGAUAACUGAAGCUUCUUCUCAUGUUCCAACUUUUCUUUGUGUACUACUGUUUGAGUACAUACUUUUCUGAUAGAUAUUUCAUUUGUAUUCGGUGAAAUGAACUGUACUAAUUUGCUAAUAAAAAUAUUGAUAUCCUU